UACGUAGGGACCAAGCGUUGUUCGGAUUUACUGGGCGUAAAGGGCGCGUAGGCGGUGCGGUAAGUCACUUGUGAAAUCUCUGAGCUUAACUCAGAACGGCCAAGUGAUACUGCAGUGCUAGAGUGCGGAAGGGGCAAUCGGAAUUCUUGGUGUAGCGGUGAAAUGCGUAGAUAUCAAGAGGAACACCUGAGGUGAAGACGGGUUGCUGGGCUGACACUGACGCUGAGGCGCGAAAGCCAGGGGAGCAAACGGG
rnacentral:rRNA from 1 species